rnacentral:rRNA from 1 species
CUACGGGUCGCUCCAGUGGGGAAUAUUGGGCAAUGGGCGCAAGCCUGACCCAGCAACGCCGCGUGAGGGAAGAAGGUUUUCGGAUUGUAAACCUCUGUCCUUGGGGACGAAGAAGUGACGGUACCCAAGGAGGAAGCUCCGGCGUAACUACGUGCCAGCAGCCGCGGUAAUACGUAGGGAGCAAGCGUUGUCCGGAAUUACUGGGCGUAAAGGGUGCGUAGGCGGCAUAUUAAGUCAGGUGUGAAAUACUCGGGCUCAACCCGGGGGCUGCAUUUGAAACUGAUAUGCUUGAGUGUGAGAGAGGAAAGUGGAAUUCCUAGUGUAGCGGUGGAAUGCGUAGAUAUUAGGAGGAACACCAGUGGCGAAGGCGACUUUCUGGCUCAUAACUGACGCUGAGGCACGAAAGCGUGGGGAGCAAACAGGAUUAGAUACCCGAGUAGUC